AAUUAGCUUAAAAUUUGUAUCUGAAAAAUUAUCAAAUUACUUAAAUUAAAUAAAUUAAAAAAUUAAAUAAUAAAAUUAAAAUUUUUUAAAAAAAAUUAGAUAGUCGAAUUAAAAAAUUUUAUAAAUAAUUUUAUAGUUUAGAUAAGUUUUAUAUAUUUUUACCUAAAAUAUAUAUAUUGGACAAAAUCUUUCCAUACACAUAUGGCAGUUUCA
rnacentral:lncRNA from 1 species